UACGAAGGGGGCUAGCGUUGCUCGGAAUCACUGGGCGUAAAGGGUGCGUAGGCGGGUCUUUUAAGUCAGGGGUGAAAUCCUGGAGCUCAACUCCAGAACUGCCUUUGAUACUGAAGAUCUUGAGUUCGGGAGAGGUGAGUGGAACUGCGAGUGUAGAGGUGAAAUUCGUAGAUAUUCGCAAGAACACCAGUGGCGAAGGCGGCUUCCUGGACCAGUACCGACGUUCAGGCACGAAAGCGUGGGGAGCAAACAGGAUUAGACUACCC
rnacentral:rRNA from 1 species